AGGGAUCAUUACAGAGUUGCAAAACUCCCCAAACCAUUGUGAACCUUACCUUCUACCGUUGCUUCGGCGGGCGGGCCACAGCGCCCCCCCGGGCCCCCUCGGGGGCGCCCGCCGGAGGAUAACCAAACUCUUGAUAUUCAUGGCCUCUCUGAGUCUUCUGUACUGAAUAAGUCAAAACUUUCAACAACGGAUCUCUUGGUUCUGGCAUCGAUGAAGAACGCAGCGAAAUGCGAUAAGUAAUGUGAAUUGCAGAAUUCAGUGAAUCAUCGAAUCUUUGAACGCACAUUGCGCCCGCCAGUAUUCUGGCGGGCAUGCCUGUUCGAGCGUCAUUUCAACCAUCAAGCCCCCGGCUUGUGUUGGGGACCUGCGGCUGCCCGCAGGCCCUGAAAACCAGUGGCGGGCUCGCUGUCACACCGAGCGUAGUAGCAACACCUCGCUCAGGGCGUGCUGCGGGUUCCGGCCGUUAAAAGCCUUUCACACCCAAGGUUGACCUCGGAUCAGGUAGGAAGACCCGCUGAACUUAA
rnacentral:rRNA from 1 species